UUGGCUAUGAUGAGUGGCGCAGGGGUACAGACCUCAGCUAGAUAAUGGGAGCUGAAUGUAGAUGCCAUCCUCACUUUGUAGCCUGCAUGUGGUGGGCUCUCUGAGGUACAUUUGCAUGACAAAAUCGCCUAUCUCUGAGCCAG